UUCCGGUCCCUUUUUUUUCAGUGUAAACGCGCUGAGGAUGUAUUCUUGAAAGAUUGCAGAAAAUACCCAGCGGGCACUGCACGCUAAUCAGCAACGUCAUCACAGUGCUGCCUUUUCAUUUAAGCAUUGGAAUUGAAAGCGGGAACACAAGCAAAUUUAAACUCCAAAUCCAACUUGUAGCAUCUAAAACAAUUUCGGAAAUGAUGUCUGAAGGACGCUUGUGCAACUUCACUGAUGAAGAAAGCAGGGUUUUAAUAUCUAUCUGGAGCAAAGACAGGAUCCAACGAGCACUAAAUAAGAAGAGGAAAAAUCUGUCACUACAGUCAUCACUACAGCAGGGCGUCAGCUUCUUUUUUUUAUUUUUUUUUGUUUCUUUUUUCUUUCUCCCUCAAAAUAUGCAUUCUCAGAGUCUGCUUCUGUGGGAAGUACCCCCUGCUGUUUCAAGCAAGUGUAAACGCUCUGUUCCGGUACAGAAGAUUCCGGAACGCUAGUGAAAACACUAGUGUCUUCUUAUUCAGUGGUUCCCAAACUUCUGAUUGUCACAUAACCCCUUCCAGACCUAUCAGCUGUCUGCAUACCCGUAGCAUACAGGUUUAUAUUUUAAUGUUAUUUUUAAUAUAUGCUUUCAUAGCAAAUAUUUAUACACAUACACAAUAAUACACACAAUAUAAAUGACUAUAAUAAUAUAAUUAGUGCUUCUGAUUUUCGCUUUUAACCGAUCAAAACCUGACAAAACACCCCUGACACACAAAAGAAAAUGAAAUCUGUGUAUAAUAAACACUGGAAAAACACUGGAAAUUGUUACUCAAUUCAUGUUGACAUCAUCAUCAAUUUCCCACUUAAAAAACAAAAACCUAACACUUAAAAAACAAACUACCUUUCCCAGUGCAGCUGGGCAAUGUCCCUCUUUCUUGACUUGUAUAUCUAGCAUUGGUUCGUUCUGAAUACUUUAAACCUGACAAUAACUUUAAAGAAUGAUAAUGAUGCUCAGUAUGAUCCGGCUGUAUUGAUUAUCCUAUUAUGUAAAAAUGAGCAAAUAACCUGCCAGGUGAUAAAAUAAUAUAUUAGUUGAUUCCUGAAUAAGGCAAGGUCAUUUUAUAUAAGAAAAUGAACUCACUUGAUGUAGUUAACUUUCAAAUAGUACCCCACCGACAUACCCACAUUAUUUAAACAUGUGUCUUAAGCUGUAUGAGUUAAAAUAAAGUUAGUAACAGUUGAAUGAGUCAGGGGCAUAAUCGUUUAACCAGCACACGCAUAUUCAUGUAAAUGUACAUUUACAGCCUUAGUCCUGUUUGUCUCCUCUAUCUCUGUUUCCCACGCUGGACUGAUGCCUCCCACCCUAAAGAAUCUACACUGUGUCCACCUUCUGUUUGUCAGAUAUGCAAAUAACAAACUUAGCAAUGUUUUAAAAAGGUGAACAUCAUUGUUUCCUAUGUGAAUCAUAAGGAUUUCAUGUAACUGUACUCACACAUAAAACAAACCAGUCUUGUGUUAACAUCUACUUUCUGCUUUUUGUCUUCAUCUUUGUUUUAAAUCUUUUUCUGUACAUCAGUUUCUGAUGCCAGUUAUGUACAAAAAGGUGACCAACCUGAUAAGCUUCUCUGAAAGUAGACUAUUUGGGUGGCAUAUACAGCACUUUUCAUUAAACCCAUAUUGCACUCCAGGAAAAAUUGAACUAGACCUUAAAAUAGAGUGCAUAGCAGUGAAAAGCUAUGCAAAACUGUGGCCAGGUUAAAUUAGUUAAUUGUAUGCCAAUUUUACCUGGCCAGUUGUUUUCAUGGGGACUGGCUAGAGCAGCCAGUUGAAUCUGAGAAGUAUGCUUGGGUGUGCAUUGCAACUGCUGACCCAGUCUUAAAGGGCCAGAACUCAAGAUUUGAAGUUUUGUGUUUAUUUGUUAUUUUGUAAAUAAAAGCUACCAAGCUUGUGCUGCCUGACCUUUGGUCAACCUGUUACAUUAAUCUGUUAGUGUUUACCAUACAAGGGGGCUCAGCAAUCUUUGAAAGUUGUCCAGCCUUGGCAGCCUGUAUCCUCUAGAAACCAGUGAAAGCUAGCUGUGUUGCUCAAUAGGUGUGCUUGUGCAGUUUGUUUUUUUAAUGACAUUCAUCUAUUUGUAGAGGCAAAAUCUGCAAAUAAUAUUGCAUAAGUUAGACUAGAGUAAAAAGUGUGUUAAUUGUCCAGCAGGUGGUGAGAAUGUAAGGUAGGUGCCUUUCUGUCAGCUUCCAUUCUGUUUUCUGUCAAUGCAAACAUUUGAUCACUUUCAGUUUUCACCCAACAACACAACAGUUCUGGUGGACAACACAGACAGCUGGGCAAUAGUAUAAUUUAACUGAUAAUUUCAACAAAAUUAUUUUAUUGUUCUACAUUUAUAUAUACAACUUACUGCUAUUGCAAUAUUAUUAUUAUUAUUAUUAUUAUUAUUAUUACUUUGUUGUUGUUAAGCACUACAUAAUCACAGUGUACAUUUUUCAUUUAAAUGCUGGAUAUGUAGACUGCAUGUAUGCUCUGGUUUAUUUUUACUUAUUAAUAAACCUGUUUUUAUGCAACUUGCAUAAUCGGAAAGAAGAUGUCUCAGUGCUGCUAAAUGCACCACCUGCAAGCCACCCAGGCAUUGUCCUUCUUCUGGAUGUCUGUCGUCGUUCAAUUUGCAAUCAUAUAAUAAUGGAUACUGCUGCACCUCAUAAAUUAACUUUGCAUCGUCCAUGAGUAACUUGUUUUGAGGCAUGACAUGUUUUGAGUCGUGACAUGUUUUGAGUCGUGACAUGUUAACCUUGCUCCUGAUUGGCAGCAGUGUGGAGUAGUGGUUAGGGCACUGGACUCUUGACCGGAGGGUUGUGGGUUCAAUCCCCAGUGGGGACACUGCUGUUGUACCCUUGAGCAAGGUACUUUACCUAGAUUGCUCCAGUAAAAACCCAACUGUAUAAAUGGGCAAUUGUAUGUAAAAAAAAAAAAAAAAAAAAAAAAAAAUAA